ensembl:lncRNA
UACUCUAGAAUCUAGAGACCCGACACUACCGAUGAUGUGGGUCAGAUGAUUCUUUGUUGAGGGCGCUCUCUGUGCCUUGUAAGGUGUUGAGGACACCACGCCUCCCUGGCCACUGGCCACUGGAUGCCAGCAGCGCCUCCCAAGCUGUGAUAAUUAAAAACGUCUGUCCGUGUUGCCAAAUAUCCCCUGAGAAACAAAACUAUCCCAGCUGAGAAACCCUUAUCUCCUUAAAACAUUUAAUGCCAUGUGUCAACGUCUCAGAUUUCAAACAAGUGGCCUGAUUUUGAUUAAAGAUCAAUUUCAGAAUGAGGAGACAGCAACAGUGACUAGCACACAGUGUGUGGAGCAGGGCAUGAGGAGGCCAGUCCUACAGUGAGCUGGUUUGCAGCCUGGGGCAGGCUCACGGUGCUUCUGCAGACUUAGAUAUGCAAACCCCCAGUACAGCGAAAUACAGGAGUCUUCUUCUAACUGUGCAGGUGCGCCACUAAGAUAAGGAUCAGAGAGUGCCAACCAGGGCUGGGAGUUCUCUGGAGAAAUUUGCAUGGUGGUAAGACCAGUGUUAUUGUUAACCCAAGUUGUUAACUAGUGUGCUUGAAGCACAGUGAGGCCAAACAAACUAAAACGUUGGAGUUUGGAGCAGAGAAAGGUUUAGUGCAAGGCCAGAAAAGGAGACCAAGUGCUCAUGCCCUGAAAACCUUCAAGCUCCCACAAGGGUUUUGGCAAAGCACUUUUAAAGAGCAGGUAAAGGGGUGGAAACAGUGGAAAUAGUGACAGACUUUAUUUUUUUGGGCUCCACUGCAGAUGGUGACUGUAGCCAUGAAAUUAAAAGAUGAUUGCUUCUUGGAAGAAAAGUUAUGACCAACCUAGACAACGUGUUAAAAAGCAGAGACAUUACUUGCCAACAAAGGUCCAUCUGGUCAAGGCUAUGGUUUUUCCAGUAGUCAUAUAUGGAUGUGAGAGCUGGACUAUAAAGAAAGCUGAGCACUGAAGAAUUGAUGCUUUUGAACUGUGGAGUUGGGGAAGACUCUUGAGAGUCCUUUGGACAGCAAGGAGAUCCAACCAGUCCAUCCUAAAGGAAAUCAGUCCUGACUAUUCACUGGAAAGACUGAUGCUGAAGCUGAAACUCCAAAACUUUGGCCACUUGAUGCAAAGAAUUGACUCAUUAGGAAAGACCCUGAUGCGGGGAAAGAUUGAAGGCGGGAGGAGAAGGGGACGAUGGAGGAUGAGAUGGUUGGAUGGCAUCACCAACGCGAUGGACAUGAGUUUAAGUAGGCUCUAGGAGUUGGUGAUGGACAGGGAAGCCUGGCGUGCUGCAGUCCAUGGCGUCACAAAGAGACGGACACGACUGAGUGACUGAACUGAUCUGAAUUCUAGUAUACUUGCCUGGAAAAUUCCAUGAACAGAGGAGCCUGGCAGGCUUCAGUUCAUAGCGUCAUAAAGAGUCAAACACCACUUCGUGACUCAGCAACAACAACAGCUCCCCCAGGGUAAAACGACUGGCGA